UUGGUCACAUCUCCGGUUCUUCAGGCUCACGCUAGUAUCGAGAUCAACAAGAAUCAACUGGGAAGACAAUUCGGAAGAGAUUUCAAGAAAUAAUCUAUUUACUUUCUCUCGCUUGAUCUUUUAAAACUCAGGGGACCUAUUUUUUGUUUUGUAUAUAUCAAUGGUAUAACGGGAUGAUAGAGGGACGGCUACAAGUGGAGGCUGGAGGGGUUUGAGUCACAUCUUUUGACGGCUCCUGCUUUGGCGUGAGCCAGUGCGUCCUUCAGGAGAAAGGUUGAGAAGUCAAGAUUGCACGUUUCCGGGUGGACUGUUUUACUAGCUUUGCUCCCGCUGACAUUUUCCUUCUCUCCUGGGCCCCUUCCGGCAUCCUCUGAUCAGAAAUGUGAACCCUAAAAACGACCACUCUUCACAUCCAGCUCGCAUGUACUGCAGAUGAAAACUGGGACGGCAUAGCCGUCUGGGACGUCUAGCCAUUGGCGCGGGACAGAAAACUGGAGAACUUGAGUCAUUCUAAGAAGCAGCUUUAACGAUUUCUCUCAAAUGAUGAGAGAUUCUCCCACUGGAUAAUAAAAAUUCCUGCCAGGCUCCUGCUAGCCUCUGAAACCUGCUGAGGUUGUCAACCCAUGAGAACUAAGCUUUUUACUAAAGGUACAGUAUGGCCAUCUUGAUCUCACACAUAGGAUGAUGAAAUUGAUGUUGUCGAUGGAGGACACUAAGAAAACAAGAAGCCAGCAGAAACCAGGCAGGAAUGAGGCCUGUGGUGCCCAACUCAGCCAGGCUAUGCUGGAGGAAGGCAGCUAGCUCCAUAUCUUAUCAAUUGUCAUUUUUGUGUGAUUUAAGACAGCCCAGUGUUAAAAUUUUGAAAACGUUUGUGUGGGAGUGAGACAGGCCUGGACAGAAGUCUAAAUGCCAUGGCACUCAUUUUCAGAGCCCUCAAGAGACAAUGUCCCUGUAGAAGCUGUGUGGAGCACUUACGGGUAGCUCGCCACUCAGCAUAAUAAAGUCCUGAAGUGAUUGUUA